rnacentral:pre_miRNA from 1 species
UUAACUCAAAUUUGUAUGGAGCUGGAUCGUUUGCCAACGUUUGCCGCUAGGGGCGCUGUUCCAACUGCAUACAAAUUUGAGUUA